CCAAGUCGAUAUCGAAUAAAUCAUCGGAUUUGGAGGACGUAAAUUUGUACAUAUUUGAUCACAGGCUGAUUUAAACGGAUCGCACUUAGCAAAAAGGAACCAGCGCAAUUACAGUACUGUAAAAAUGUUGCCUCUUCAUAAUUAUCUAAAACAUGUCUCAGAAUAGCAUAUAGUUUUGGCUUCCCACCAAAAAAUUGUAAAUUUCAAAGGAAAUAAUAGUGUAAAUUUUAAUGCUGUACAUAUGUUAAGAAUUUUUAAAAGAAGAGGAGAAGUUGCACAAUUUUGAAAGCACUGUAGUCAGGCUGGUUCCUUUUUGCUGAAUGCGAUCCAAAUAUGCGUAUCACACCUACGUUCAACUUGAAAGCUACUCACAGUCUGAACUUGGAGUCACCGUCGAGCAGGCGUUAUAAAAUGACGAAGUUGUGUAAACGGUUGACCAUUUUAAUCCUCUUCUCGGUCUUGACUUUGCUUGCGCUCUUUGUGGCACAGACCGAAGGAGCACCAUUUGUAAGUUCUGCUAUUUUUAUUAUUCCAUCAAGUACACUAAGUAUGGCAUAUGAAUUAUUUUCCAUAUAGUCUAUUGUGUACGGUUAGUGCAUUAAGAAAAUAAAACUGAUUUGCGAAAUUUUUCUCACACGGAAAAAAUGGAUUGCUGAUUGAACAAUUAAAUUGUUAACAAAUAUGUCUGACAUGUUUAAAAUGUAUAUUUUAAAAUAUUGGAAAGCUCGUUUAAUCACGGGGGUGGUUAAAUUAGCAUUUUUGUGUUGUAAAAUCUACAUUGUAACAUGCCGGACACUUUUUAAACUACAAAAUUGUCAAAUCAGCAAUUUAAUUUCUUUCUGUGCAACCCUCAACGAUGAAUUGCGGAUGGCUCACUGAAAUUAUUUAUAAAUUCCACUCCUUUAUUAUAGAAUGCAAUAGUUUAGAACCACCUAAAUUCGAGAAAUCCAAAAAUCACUGUAAAGACAAUUUAUUUACUCCUCUUUUAAUAUGUUUCAACUAACUUAUUAUUUGCUUUUGCAGACUGAAAACAAAUCAGAGAUUACACUAAGAUUUUAAAGAACUUUUUUCCCCUAAUAUUUUAUUGAUUACUUAUUGAAUUUUGUUUUCAUAUAUUUCCUUCUAUUCUGUCAGAUGGUAUGGUUCAAAUUGAUGGGUCACCGUUUGACCCCUAUACCUAUAAAAUGGAUUCUUCUUUUCCCGAACACUAUAUCUCGGGUUGCGACGCUAUCAUUCUCCGCUUAUGCCUUAUAUUUUUUAACGAACUGCGAACUGACCAACGGUUUCUAUUACAUUUUCCGUGAAUUUGUAUCACUCACUCUAGAAACGAAUUGAACUUUAGCAACAAAUAUUUGUUCUAUUAAAAAAGUUGACCUCACAUUCUGCUUUAAAGAAAGAUGGAACUUCAUACCAAAUUUUUCUCCUCCCGGUCCCCAGUUAAUGUAAUGUGUGUCCCUUCUGCUAUACUGUGCGAAUAUGAUUCAAUAUCCAUUGCCACUUCUAACUCAAAUAUAUUAACAUGUGUAUUCAAUUGUACAAUUCCAGUGUGAUGCGAGCAAACGCGGUAAUUGCGACCCCCCACCACAUCCUGUCGGAGAAAGGCCUUGUAAGUGUGGUGAUGAAUGCGCGCGUGGGUGCAGUGGUUAAUGGAAUCUUUUUUGAAAAUGUCAUUUGCGUGACGACUUUCAACUACACAAUGAACUCCUAGAUUCUCUACCUCACUUUAUAACUUUUAUUACGCAAACUUUUUUUGUAGUUGAGCUUUCAAUAAACGUAAUUUUGAUCCUCAUUCAUGCUGUUUUAUUUGUCGCAGUCCACAGGUUAAAGAAACCAAAUUAAAAAU
rnacentral:lncRNA from 1 species